rnacentral:rRNA from 1 species
GAUGAACGCUGACCGAAUGCUUAACACAUGCAAGUCAACUUGAAUUUGGGUUUUUAACUUAGAUUUGGGUGGCGGACGGGUGAGUAACGCGUAAAGAACUUGCCUCACAGCUAGGGACAACAUUUAGAAAUGAAUGCUAAUACCUGAUAUUAUGAUUUUAAGGCAUCUUAGAAUUAUGAAAGCUAUAAGCACUGUGAGAGAGCUUUGCAUCCCAUUAGCUAGUUGGAGAGGUAACAGCUCACCAAGGCGAUGAUGGGUAGCCGGCCUGAGAGGGUGAACGGCCACAAGGGGACUGAGACACGGCCCUUACUCCUACGGGAGGCAGCAGUGGGGAAUAUUGGACAAUGGACCGAGAGUCUGAUCCAGCAAUUCUGUGUGCACGAUGAAGUUUUUCGGAAUGUAAAGUGCUUUCAGUUGGGAAGAAAGAAAUGACGGUACCAACAGAAGAAGUGACGGCUAAAUACGUGCCAGCAGCCGCGGUAAUACGUAUGUCACGAGCGUUAUCCGGAUUUAUUGGGCGUAAAGCGCGUCUAGGUGGUUAUGUAGGUCUGAUGUGAAAAUGCAGGGCUCAACUCUGUAUUGCGUUGGAAACUGUAUAACUAGAGUACUGGAGAGGUAAGCGGAACUACAAGUGUGGAGGUGAAAUUCGUAGAUAUUUGUAGGAAUGCCGAUGGGGAAGCCAGCUUACUGGACAGAUACUGACGCUAAAGCGCGAAAGCGUGGGUAGCAAACAGG